rnacentral:rRNA from 1 species
UACGAAGGGGGCUAGCGUUGCUCGGAAUCACUGGGCGUAAAGCGCACGUAGGCGGAUUUUUAAGUCAGGGGUGAAAUCCUGGAGCUCAACUCCAGAACUGCCUUUGAUACUGGAAAUCUCGAGUCCGGAAGAGGUGAGUGGAACUGCGAGUGUAGAGGUGAAAUUCGUAGAUAUUCGCAAGAACACCAGUGGCGAAGGCGGCUCACUGGUCCGGUACUGACGCUGAGACGCGAAAGCGUGGGGAGCGAACAGG